rnacentral:piRNA from 1 species
UUCAAUGAUGUUGUGUAUCAUGGCCCUGA